rnacentral:rRNA from 1 species
AGAGUUUGGAUCCUGGCUCAGAACGAACGCUGGCGGCAGGCCUAACACAUGCAAGUCGAACGGGACCUUCGGGUCUAGUGGCAGACGGGUGAGUAACGCGUGGGAAUCUACCCAUCUCUACGGAACAACUCCGGGAAACUGGAGCUAAUACCGUAUACGUCCUUCGGGAGAAAGAUUUAUCGGAGAUGGAUGAGCCCGCGUUGGAUUAGCUAGUUGGUGGGGUAAUGGCCUACCAAGGCGACGAUCCAUAGCUGGUCUGAGAGGAUGAUCAGCCACACUGGGACUGAGACACGGCCCAGACUCCUACGGGAGGCAGCAGUGGGGAAUAUUGGACAAUGGGCGCAAGCCUGAUCCAGCCAUGCCGCGUGAGUGAUGAAGGCCCUAGGGUUGUAAAGCUCUUUCAACGGUGAAGAUAAUGACGGUAACCGUAGAAGAAGCCCCGGCUAACUUCGUG